AUAAAAAAAAAAAAAUGAGGCUGCUAUGUAAGAUGAAUUCCAAGCAGCAGCAUAGCAGGGUGGGGGGAAGCUCCCUCCCACUGCCUGGGAAAGGUCACUUCUGCCCUAAGCAGCAGAUCGGAGCUGGGGCACAGUGCAUGCAAGUGAGCCCAGCCUCAUCCAUCUCCAUCAGGAGACAUCUCUGCUUUUAAUUUAUUUAGCAAAGGGGGAGGAAACGGAGUGUGUGUGUGCGUGGGGGGGGGGGGGGAAGGAAAAAAAACAACUUGCAAACACCUCCCAGCACCCUCUGCAAGGAUGGGGAAAUGUAGCGAGGGGGAGAGGCUUGGAAAGCGUCCUGAACCAAAGAGAGAGGGAGGGGGGAAGAGAAAGAGAGAGAGGGAGGUGGUGCAUCCUCCGCAUCCUCCUCCUCCUCCACGCCUGCCCGGCUGCGGCAAAGCUCCGCAGUAGGUGCUCCCCUCCCCCGUGCAUUUCCUUUGCUGUAGAAACUUCUGGAAUCAGCAGCCGAGCUGGGGAGAGGAAAGCAGAGCAACCCUGCUGCCCGCAGAGGGGGGAGAAAAAAAAAAGCGAGCUGAGCCAUAGAGCAGGCAAUAAAAGGGAGAGGAAUGCACAGCAGCGGGGCACGCACGUCGCUCCGUGCAUCACGUAGGGCAGCCCGCGGGGCUGGAAAUAAAGCACAAAAGCACACAAAUGGUGGUGUGUGCGGCGCUGGAUAGUGGGACAAGGAGCUGAGCCCUCCUCCCGGAGCUGCACUAAGCCCUGCCACUCAGUUCAGCUCAUCCGUCCUCAUUUCGGUGCAAUGAAUUCAGUGCCUGCCCGACUGCACUGGCAGAGUCAGCUGCCUUCUUCUUUUUUUUUUUUUCUUUUUUUUAAAUAAUUAAUAUUGCUUUCCUUUUUGGUUCUGUUUCACUGCUUUAUUUUUUACUUUUUAUUUUUUUAUCCUUUAAUUAAGAAAUCUUUCCCCAACAUCCCAAGGGAAAUCUACACCUCUGUGGAACAAAUAAAGCAUUCAGGCACCAAUCUUCACCACGGACUGAUCAAAUGGGCGGCUGGUCGCAUUUUGCUUGUUUUUACCUUUUUUAACUAUUAUUUUUCGUCUUUUUUUUUUUUCUUUUGGGUGUGUGCGUGUAAUUUUUUUUCCCUCUUGCUCUUAGGACAGUAGAAAGCCAAUGGAGGAAAACAAAGUAUUACCACAUCUGAUCUCACCACAUGUAUGUUUUUAAUUACCAGAACGGUGGCCGUGAGGAGGCAGUUCCUUCCCUCAGUCCUCGGCUGUUUGGGGCUUUUUUAGCGUUGUUUUGCUUUUUUUUUUUUUUUUUUUUUUGUUUUUGUUUUUUUAAUUGGGCAUUUUCCACGCGGUGAGGACAGCGAUUGCAACCCCUGCGGAGGAGAGAAGUGGAG
ensembl:lncRNA